AAAUUUUGUGCACGUCCUUUCAUUUUCGUGGGUCUGCGAUUGCGCACGGCGAAAGAGGCUUCGUGUGGACAUACCUCUACGUCGAUAUCAUCUCAACUGUGUGAUAUUUGUAUGAGAACCGUUUUGAAAUUUGUUGUAGUAGUGAUUGGUAAACAUUCAUGUUAUUGCUUUUGCGUCUCAAUCUAGUUUCUCAUCCGUCGUAAUAAUAAUCCACAGUACUCGUGAAUAGUACAUCUGCAAAAAGUAAAAGUGAGAGGCAAUCACAAAAGGAUUCAAUGUACUGUCAAAGCAUUGUUCCAGUGCUUUCUGUCAAACGCUCAGGUUGAAGCAACAGCGACAUUUGUGUUCAUGGCGCUGCUUUGAUCAUCCGAAAGUAGGUUUUUUCGCAGUGAGUGGAAUCAGUGGUACAUUAUAGUCCAUGGAGUUACAGCUUAGCACAUGAGGGGCGUAUGGGCUAUUGAAACUAAAUAUAUGUCACUGCAGCUGAAUGUCGUGACUGGGUAGAAAACUAAUGCACACAAGAAGGUGUGCCCUGAUACAAUGCUGCUUCAGGACUUCCCUGAUGAAAUACUGCUUGAAAUUUUCUCACGACUUCCAGUUAAAGAUAUAGUUACAUGUGCUCUUUAUGUUUGUAAACGCUGGAAAGCCGUGUGUAGGAGUUCAGCCCUCUGGAAAGGGCGAGAAUAUCGGUUAACAGACAAAAAAAGGAAAUGUGAGAUUGUGGAAGUAGCCAAACUUAUUCCACACCUGACAACACUUUUUGUAGGGACAGGUACAAACUUCUGUGUAUGGUUUACUGGUUGCAAUGUGCUUCUUUCAUCAGGUGUUGAUUUUGAAAUAAUUAGGGAUUUAGUUUGGAGUUGUAAUAUUAGUAACAUAACAGUUCCAAGAGGUCUCUUCAGUCCUGAUUUGUUUCCAAAGCUGCUUGAUGAUGAUAAGAAACUCAGAUAUUUAACUGUGAAACAUGAUCCAAUGAUGUAUAACACUCCAGGUGAAACUCUACCACUUUUACUAAGACAGGGGUCACUGUCGGAGUUGAAAAUACUUCACAUACAUGGUGCCCGAAGUAUUACUGUUGACACUGUCCUUCAGUUGUGCCAGCACUGUCCCCAUCUUGAAGAACUGGCGUUACAUGAAUUAAGUCAGGCCUCAGACCAUGUGUUACAGAAUUUAUAACUGUGCCCUAAACUUCGCUUACUGGAAAUCACACAGUCUAACUCACUUCGUGAUCUUUCAUUUUUAAAAUGUUGUCCAAACCUGUUGGAAUUGGAUCUUACUAUGUGCUACUCUUUACAGCCCUCCUCUUUUCAGCAUUUGCUACACCUGAAAAAGUUGAAAUGGUUUCAUAUGAGGCACUGUAGAGCAAUUGGUUUACCACUUGCUGCCAUGGCUGAAUAUCUUGUUCACUUAAAGAUUAUUGACUUGUUUUAUUCUGCUGGUUUUAGUGAAAGUGAACUGAAAAAACUACAGAUGAUAGCUCCACACAUAAUUGUGUUACAGGGGCCUUUUGACCAUAGGUAGCUUCACAUAUAAUUGUUACAAGAGUCUUUUGGUCCAAUGUUUGAAAAUACAAUUAAUUGUAUCCUUCAUAAAUGUCAGUACUUGUGCUAAUGAUCUGCUAAAAAGUUGUCAUGUACCUUGUAAAUAAAGAACAUAUGUUCAUGGUA